GAUUAUGGCUCAGAACGAACGCUGGCGGCAGGCCUAACACAUGCAAGUCGAACGCCCCGCAAGGGGAGUGGCAGACGGGUGAGUAACACGUGGGAACCUUCCCUAUAGUACGGAAUAGCCCAGGGAAACUUGGAGUAAUACCGUAUACGCCCGAAAGGGGAAAGAAUUUCGCUAUAGGAUGGGCCCGCGUAGGAUUAGCUAGCUGGUGAGGUAAUGGCUCACCAAGGCGACGAUCCUUAGCUGGUUUGAGAGAACGACCAGCCACACUGGGACUGAGACACGGCCCAGACUCCUACGGGAGGCAGCAGUGGGGAAUAUUGGACAAUGGGCGCAAGCCUGAAUCCAGCCAUGCCGCGUGAGUGAUGAAGGCCUUAGGGUUGUAAAGCUCUUUUGCCGGGGACGAUAAUGACGGUACCCGGAGAAUAAGUCCCGGCUAACUUCGUGCCAGCCGCAGC
rnacentral:rRNA from 1 species